UCAUGCUCUCCUGGCUGGACAGUGUAAAGGAUAUCAUGCUCUCCUGGUUGAGGUGGCUGAGGAGUUUCUCCAGGGAGACGUAGCAGUGCAGGAUGGUGUCUGAGACCACCACGAGGAGCUUUUGUGAUGGCCACGUUCAGCCUCCUCUAGUCUUUCAGCAGCUCAGACCAGGUCACACACAGGUCAAAGGUCAUGACCCAUACAAUAUGUCCAAUUCAGAUACAAAUAUCUCAUGUUGAAAUUUGCUCAAAGUCUGUUAUAACUAUCCAAUCCAAAAGUUAUGCACUUUGACCAAGUAAAGGUUCAUAUUUCAAGAGACAUGGUUGGUUUAAGGUCCACUCACGUUGCCUUCUGGGUGACUCCUGGCGAGGGAAAUGGUGAUGACUCUGUUGUACUUCUCCACAGUGUUGACCUCCACAGUGCUGAAGGCUUUGGCAGUUAGCAGGCUUAAGAUGGCCUUCAGCUGCUGUCUGUAGGGAGCAAUGACCCCAAUAUCACUGGCCCUGCAACCAGCCUAGUAGAACAGGAUAGUAUAGGGCUAAAUUCUCUGCUGUAUUGGUAUCCUUGCUACCACACUGUAACAGAUCUCGUUCAUCUCAACAUCUGCUGUGCUGCUAGUGGCAAUGGCAUUUCGCUGACUCUACCUUUAAGUGUGGUUUGUUUGACCUGUGUAUUGUGUAGCUAGUGUUGUUGGACCUUUGUACAGUAUGUUAUUGGAACUGUGUCUGCAUGCUGCAGCUGUCUGGCCGGUUCCUGUCCUGGAGACGUUUGACAAGGGGGGAAUCAGCAACCAAACAGAAGCUGCUCUGAUGCACGGUUUAGUCAGCCUGCUACUGAAGGCAGUAGUACUGAACAGACCUUGGAGGAAAGCUUUCCAUCAGCUUGGAGAGGUUGACCAGAUGUGUGCUCAGCCCAAUUGCCCCUUCGUCCUGGUCCAGUCAGAACACAACAUCACAGGAACACUUUGAAAGUUCCCUAUGGAGAGGAGUCCAUGAAACUUAUAUGACAUUUUUCUAGCACAUUUUUACUCCUGAACUUAUUUAGGCUUGCCAUAAGAAAGGGGUUGAAUACUUAUAUACUUAUUGAAAAAGGGGGCUUUACAAGCCAAAGAACACCAUCCCAACAUGAAGCACGGGGGUGGCAGCAUCAUGUUGUGGGGGUGCUUUGCUGCAGGAGGGACUGGUGCACUUCACAAAAUAGAUGGCAUCAUGAGCAAGGAAAAUUAUGUGGAUAUUUUGAAGCAACAUCUGAAAACAUCCAUCAGGAAGUUAAAGCUUGGUCGCAAAUGGAUCUUCCAAAUGGACAAUGACCCCAAGCAUACUUCCAAAGUUGUGGCAAAAUGGCUUAAGGACAACAAAAUCAAGGUAUUGGAGUGGCCAUCACAAAUCCCUGACCUCAAUCUUAUAGAAAAUAUAUAGGCAGAACUGAAAAAGCGUGUACGAGCAAGGAGGCCUAGAAACCUGACUCAGUUACACCAGCUCUGUCAGGAGGAAUGGACCAAAAUUCACCCAACUUAUUGUGGGACGCGUGUAGAAGGCUACCCGACACGUUUUACCCAAGUUUAACAAUUUAAAGGCAAUGCUACCAAAUACUAAUUGAGUGAGUGUAUGUAAACUUCUGACCCACUGGGAAUUGGAUGAAAGAAAUAAAAGCUGAAAUAAAUCA